UACGGGGGGGGGCAAGCGUUGUUCGGAAUUACUGGGCGUAAAGGGCGCGUAGGCGGUUUGCUAAGUUGGAUGUGAAAACUCUGGGCUUAACCCAGAGCCUGCAUCCAAAACUGGCAAACUUGAGUACUGGAGGGGAAAGCGGAAUUCCUGGUGUAGCGGUGAAAUGCGUAGAUAUCAGGAGGAACACCGGUGGCGAAGGCGGCUUUCUGGACAGUAACUGACGCUGAGGCGCGAAAGCCAGGGGAGCAAACGGG
rnacentral:rRNA from 1 species